rnacentral:SRP_RNA from 1 species
GCUGAGUGUGGUGGUGCACGCUUGUAAUCCCAGCUAUUUGGGAGGCUGAGGCAGGAGAAUCACUUGAACCUGGGAGGUGGAGGUUGCAGUGAGCUGAGAUCAUGCCACUGCACUUCCACCUGGGUGACAGAGUGAGACUCCAUCUCAA